UACGGGGGGGGCAAGCGUUGUUCGGAAUUACUGGGCGUAAAGGGCGCGUAGGCGGCCUUCUAAGUCAGACGUGAAAUCCCCAGGCUUAACUUGGGAACUGCGUCUGAUACUGGAGGGCUUGAGUGCGGGAGAGGGAUGUGGAAUUCCAGGUGUAGCGGUGAAAUGCGUAGAUAUCUGGAGGAACACCGAUGGCGAAGGCAGCCUCCUGGGCUAGUACUGACGCUCAUGCACGAAAGCGUGGGGAGCAAACAGG
rnacentral:rRNA from 1 species